AUAUUCACUCCUGUAAAUGGGAGGAAUCAGGUCGCUCGCUUUGCAUGCAGAUGCGCACACGCGCGCCACAUCUGCAUGUCGUUGAGUUUCACUUAAACAUGCCUCGGCUGCUUUGUCUUGGGGGCUCGUGCGUGCGCUGCCGGCGCGUCGCGCACGUGGAGAGGCUCCCGUGAGAGCGCACACCUGUCUGCAACCUCAGUCCAGGAUGUGACUUAUGCUCCAACAUAGACUGCUCAACCAUGCCUUUUACGAGGCUGCCAGUAUUGACAGCACAUUAUUAAUACACUUCAGAGGGGGUCUGUAUCUUUGUUUAUCCAUUUCUCCACUCCCACAUACUAGUCAGCAGAAUAAUAAGUGGAAGCACAGAACCGGACCACUGUCUUACCAGCUAAUUACGGGGCUCAUGUAGAUGGAUGAUUCUUCAGAUAGAGUCCAGCUAUUAUACAAACUCAUUAAGCUUUCUCUCCAUCCAGCAUCCCUCGCUAAAGGUCAAAGUCACAGUCAGGAUGACGGCGCGGACGCGUGCGCACGCACGCAGGAGCCUCACAGAUCCUGCAGCAACGCGCCCCGCAGUCGAAUCCUCCUGACGGGGCUCCGACAACGCGAAGAAGAGGGCAGUGCAAGAUGGAGAGCGUCUCUUCUAGUCACAAGCUGCUCCGAGGCUCCGAUGGGAGGACCUGGUCCACAGCUGCCGGACGAACACGCUACGCCUCCAAAGGCCACACAUCAGCCCACACAAAACGCUAAGUGCCACCAGACUUUUCCUUUAAGAUGCUGCAAGUUGACUCAUGAAAUAAUAUUACUGUGUUUAUUACAGAGGCUUUUCAAUCAGUACAGUAGUAAUGCCUUUUAACAAAAGGCAUUUUCCGACUCCAAGUUAUUUGUCUUUUUAUUCUCCACCCUUAUCUGGUCUCUGAGAGCUGUUUGCUUGUUGUUGGACAGGACAAAAGCAACUAAUUCUUUUAAUUAUCACUUCACCUGGCAAUCAUGUUAUAAAAGCUUAUUUUAUGAAAUGCCCAUGAGUAAUUAACUAACACAAUACUCCAAUCUACUCUAUCAAAUAUGACGUCUGCAGUUGUCUCACAGUUGUGCAAAGAAUAUUCUUCAUACUUUGGUUCGUAAUGUGAAACAGUUUUUACCGAUGUUUUCACUUUGUUUUAUUGAUAGUUUUAGUUUGAGAUGAAUUCUGAAUCCACCCACUGAUUGUAAAGACGCUUCUGUGUAAUUAUACACAUCAUGGUGACAUCUACAGUAUGAGCCCGUUCUAUACUGUACCACUGUAUGUGCUGUGGUUAUAUUGGUAUCACAGAGACGUCUCAAGAUUUCUAUUAACCUAAUACCUUGUAAUGUGCUCUUCUUUCACACCAGUAAUUAUGUUGCACCAUUUUACACAUUCUUAAAGAAUCCAGUCACUUCUGAAAUUCAUUUUCAAAUCCAGUGAACCAUUUAAUUAACACCAGGAAAUGUUCCAACACACCUGCUUUCACUAGCACAUGUUCAUCUCUAAAAAAAACACAUGAUUUGUACAGGAUGUGAUGGAUGAGUGUUCAUUUCAAAACUGCUCCAACACUGGAGAACAUAUGUACCAAAAAUACCCCUUGAUAAUUUGCUUGUAGUGACCUUCGGCGACUCGAACUGUCCAUUUCACCCCCGUAAAGGCGUCGAGUAACGAUGAAGCGAGACGUGAGUUUGUGAAAUCGCUACUCAAUUCUCUGGUUGACAUUUGACAUGCAAAUAGAUUUGGUUUCCAUGUUAAUGGAAUGAAUGGAUUUUUGUGUCACACAACAGACCCGGUUCAGUGACAGUUUAAUUACCUGAUAUUUUCCAAACAUAUUGAUAUGAGCGAGCUCUUAGCUCACGAUUAUAACAUGCUGCAGCCGUAAUGUGUUUCAUGGAAAACCUCCUCAACAGAUUUUGACAUCGCUUCGCUGUGAUGCCGUUUCGCCCGCUCCCAACGUAAACAGCGGCCGGCGCAUGUACACUACGUGUUAAAAUCUUUAUUUGCCUCCGUGCGUCUCUUUGUGCCGCGUCCAAUCUAUUUGUCUGAACACAUUCUUGGGAAGAUGUCAGAGCGGUAUUGAUAGAGCGCAAUCGGGAGGCGAGUGCACAUAUUGUUCACUCUGUACACAUCCUGCUCAUUCAAUUCUGGGAAAUUGCUCUGCCUCAAAAAAGGUUGUCAUUAUUUUGUCACUCAGCGUCCCAGGUGACAUUUACAGCAAAUAACCUCACAGGCUAAAAGAAACACCACAGAGAAAAUAUGAAGUAAUGUGUUUGACUUGAAGGAAGGACAGGGGAAGUGGAGCUUUGUCUCAAUGAUACAUGUGGAAACACUGAAAGAGUUAAAUGAGUCUAGAAAGGAGACUAAGAAGUAUGAAAGACUUCACUUUGACCAAAGUCUCCACUUGUACUUAUGAAUUAACAAUAAAUAAUAAAUAAGCAAUAUCAAUAAACAAUACAUUUGUGUCAGUGGAAAACUGAAUACUCUGUCUUUUAUUUAGCUUAGUUCUCUGUAGGAUGCAGAUUAAAGUAAUUUGAUCCCCUCAAUAAAAUCUCCUCCACCUUUUUCUGUUCAUGUUGUUUUAUGGCUUCGCUGUUGUGUUUAAACAAAGGCCAGACCGCGGGCCGCUCUAAAGGCCAUGCAAUUAUCCUUACCCAUUGCGGCGAGUUGUAUGGGCGCUAUUAACUCUGUAUGGGUGAUGUUUUUCAUGGAGCAACCGGAUUUUCUUCUGAGUGCUGCACUCACGAGUCCUGCACUGUACCUGCCACAAUGACAGAUGGCUGCAUUAGUAAUCAAGCCAAUUCAAAAAAAAAAAAAAAAAAAACGCAGCCUUGAAUUUGAUGCAGGAUAGCGGCUGGAGGUUGCUUACCUGCUUACCGUCUCCUCUUAUCUCCACACACAGAACUCCAGCCGCUAUCUUUUAAGGUUAUAUUUUAAAGAAGCUAUUUAUAUUUAUAUCCUCAGCUCCCAGAUGUGUAUAUAUACAUGAAUUAGAUUCCUCUGAAUAUUAUCACAGAAGGUGAACUUGCACAGAUCACAUAAAUGUUACAGAAGAAGAAGUGCCUCGCGCACGCAUGGGCUUGGCCUCAGCGCUGGAGGAUUUCGAGCUGAGACAAUAAUUUUCUCUGAGCUAUUACCAACCGAGUGCAGUGCUCACAACUCCUAAACUUAAUAUGUCAUAUUAGAAUAUUAAUGGAAAUUGGAAACGCUGACCCCGGCUGAACAGC